UACGUAGGGUGCAAGCGUUGUCCGGAAUUAUUGGGCGUAAAGGGCUCGUAGGCGGUUUGUCGCGUCGGGAGUGAAAACCAUGAGCUUAACUCAUGGCUUGCUUUCGAUACGGGCAGACUAGAGGCAUGCAGGGGAGAACGGAAUUCCUGGUGUAGCGGUGAAAUGCGCAGAUAUCAGGAGGAACACCGAUGGCGAAGGCAGGUCUCUGGGCAUUAACUGACGCUGAGGAGCGAAAGCAUGGGGAGCGAACAGG
rnacentral:rRNA from 1 species